rnacentral:rRNA from 1 species
CUCCUACUGGAGGCAGCAGUGGGGGAUAUUGCACAAUGGGGGAAACCCUGAUGCAGCGACGCCGCGUGGAGGAAGAAGGUUUUCGGAUUGUAAACUCCUGUCGUUAGGGACGAUAAUGACGGUACCUAACAAGAAAGCACCGGCUAACUACGUGCCAGCAGCCGCGGUAAAACGUAGGGUGCAAGCGUUGUCCGGAAUUACUGGGUGUAAAGGGAGCGCAGGCGGACCGGCAAGUUGGAAGUGAAAACUAUGGGCUCAACCCAUAAAUUGCUUUCAAAACUGCUGGCCUUGAGUAGUGCAGAGGUAGGUGGAAUUCCCGGUGUAGCGGUGGAAUGCGUAGAUAUCGGGAGGAACACCAGUGGCGAAGGCGACCUACUGGGCACCAACUGACGCUGAGGCUCGAAAGCAUGGGUAGCAAACAGGAUUAGAUACCCUGGUAGUCCAUGCCGUAAACGAUGAUUACUAGGUGUUGGAGGAUUGACCCCUUCAGUGCCGCAGUUAACACAAUAAGUAAUCCACCUGGGGAGUACGACCGCAAGGUUGAAACUCAAAGGAAUUGACGGGGGCCCGCACAAGCAGUGGAGUAUGUGGUUUAAUUCGACGCAACGCGAAGAACCUUACCAAGUCUUGACAUCCCUUGACGAACAUAGAAAUAUGUUUUCUCUUCGGAGCAAGGAGACAGGUGGUGCAUGGUUGUCGUCAGCUCGUGUCGUGAGAUGUUGGGUUAAGUCCCGCAACGAGCGCAACCCUUAUGGUCAGUUACUACGCAAGAGGACUCUGGCCAGACUGCCGUUGACAAAACGGAGGAAGGUGGGGAUGACGUCAAAUCAUCAUGCCCUUUAUGACUUGGGCUACACACGUACUACAAUGGCGUUAAACAAAGAGAAGCAAGACCGCGAGGUGGAGCAAAACUCAGAAACAACGUCCCAGUUCGGACUGCAGGCUGCAACUCGCCUGCACGAAGUCGGAAUUGCUAGUAAUCGUGGAUCAGCAUGCCACGGUGAAUACGUUCCCGGGCCUUGUACACACCGC